AUUGAACGCUGGCGGCAGGCCUAACACAUGCAAGUCGAGCGAGCGGCGGACGGGUGAGUAAUGUCUGGGAAACUGCCUGAUGGAGGGGGAUAACUACUGGAAACGGUAGCUAAUACCGCAUACCAUCAGAUGUGCCCAGAUGGGAUUCGCUAGGAGGGCGGGUAACGGCUAACCUAGGCGACGAUCCCUAGCUGGUCUGAGAGGAUGACCAGCCAAACUGGAACUGAGACACGGUCCAGACUCCUACGGGAGGCAGCAGUGGGGAAUAUUGCACAAUGGGCGAAAGCCUGAUGCAGCCAUGCCGCGUGUGUGAAGAAGGCCUUCGGGUUGUAAAGCACUUUCAGCAGGGAAGCGGUACCCGCAGAAGAAGCACCGGCUAACUCCGUGCCAGCAGCCGCGGUAAUAC
rnacentral:rRNA from 1 species